AUCGUUGUGAGCCCGCUAUCAGCGGCCAGCGCGGGCGCGGCCGGAGACCGUGGGGCCCCCGGUUGCCGCCCCCUCGGGAGCCACCAUGUUGGUGAUACCCCCCGGACUGAGCGAGGAAGAGGAGGCUCUGCAGAAGAAAUUCAACAAGCUCAAGAAAAAGGUGAGGGACUGUGUGUGGACAUGGCCUAACCUUUCACAGACUCUGCACUCUGAGAAGAUAUGGGAAAAAGGCAUUGCUGGCUCUGAAGAAGCAAAGUAGCAGCAGCACAACCAGCCAAGGUGGUGUCAAACGCUCACUAUCAGAGCAGCCUGUCAUGGACACAGCCACAGCAACAGAGCAGGCAAAGCAGCUGGUGAAGUCAGGAGCCAUCAGUGCCAUCAAGGCUGAGACCAAGAACUCAGGCUUCAAGCGUUCUCGAACCCUUGAGGGGAAGUUAAAGGACCCCGAGAAGGGACCAGUCCCCACUUUCCAGCCGUUCCAGAGGAGCAUAUCUGCUGAUGAUGACCUGCAAGAGUCAUCCAGACGUCCCCAGAGGAAAUCUCUGUAUGAGAGCUUUGACUGGGGCUAUGAAGAACGCAGUGG
rnacentral:misc_RNA from 1 species